rnacentral:rRNA from 1 species
UACGAAGGGGGCUAGCGUUGCUCGGAAUCACUGGGCGUAAAGGGUGCGUAGGCGGGUCUUUAAGUCAGGGGUGAAAUCCUCGGAGCUCAACUCCAGAACUGCCUUUGAUACUGAAGAUCUUGAGUUCGGGAGAGGUGGAGUGGAACUGCGAGUGUAGAGGUGAAAAUUCGUAGAUAUUCGCAAGAACACCAGUGGCGAAGGCGGCUUACUGGUCCGGUACUGACGCUGAGGAGCG